UACGUAGGGUGCAAGCGUUAAUCGGAAUUACUGGGCGUAAAGCGUGCGCAGGCGGUGAUGUAAGACAGUUGUGAAAUCCCCGGGCUCAACCUGGGAACUGCAUUUGUGACUGCAUAGCUAGAGUACGGUAGAGGGGGAUGGAAUUCCGCGUGUAGCAGUGAAAUGCGUAGAUAUGCGGAGGAACACCGAUGGCGAAGGCAAUCCCCUGGACCUGUACUGACGCUCAUGCACGAAAGCGUGGGGAGCAAACAGG
rnacentral:rRNA from 1 species